rnacentral:rRNA from 1 species
CCAAGGAGUCUAACAUGUGCGCGAGUCAUUGGGACUUGUUCAUGCCCAAAGGCGAAAUGAAAGUGAAGGACGGCGGCAGUCGUCUUCGUUGGGACCCGCUUCUUCGGGAGCGGAGCACCAACGGCCCGUCCCGAUCGCUUUGUCGAUGGGGCGGAGCGAGAGCGUACACGUUGGGACCCGAAAGAUGGUGAACUAUGCCUGGGCAGGACGAAGCCAGAGGAAACUCUGGUGGAGGUCCGCAGCGAUUCUGACGUGCAAAUCGAUCGUCAGACCUGGGUAUAGGGGCGAAAGACUAAUCGAACCAUCUAGUAGCUGGUUCCCUCCGAAGUUUCCCUCAGGAUAGCUGGCGCUCUUUGGAGGCAUUCUCAUCCGGUAAAGCGAAUGAUUAGAGGCCUUGGGGCCGAAACGACCUCAACCUAUUCUCAAACUUUAAAUGGGUGAGAAGUCCGGCUUGCUCGACUGAAGCCCGGACGGUCUUGGAUGCGAGUGCCCAGUGGGCCACUUUUGGUAAGCAGAACUGGCGCUGUGGGAUGAACCAAACGCCGGGUUAAGGCGCCCGAUGCGAGACGCUCACGAGACCCCAUGAAAGGUGUUGGUUGCUAUAGACAGCAGGACGGUGGCCAUGGAAGUCGGAAUCCGCUAAGGAGUGUGUAACAACUCACCUGCCGAAGCAACUAGCCCUGAAAAUGGAUGGCGCUUCAGCGUCGAGCCCAUACCCGGCCGUCGCGACUGGUGGUUACAUUUGGUCGCGACGAGUAGGAGGGCGCAGGGGUGUGCGUUGAAGGUACCGGGAGCAAUCCCGUCUGGAGCCACCCCUGGUGCAGAUCUUGGUGGUAGUAGCAAAUACUCAAGUGAGAACCUUGAGGACUGAGGUGGAGAAGGGUUCCAUGUGAACAGCAGUUGAACAUGGGUCAGUCGGUCCUAAGGAAUAGGGGAAAUCCGUUACGAAGCGGGACCUUGUACAUGCGAUACUGGUCCCGCAUUGGACCGAAAGGGAAUCGGGUUAAUAUUCCCGAACCCGGACACGGAGAUCGACCCCUCACGGGGUUCAGUGCGGUAACGCAAACGACCUCGGAGACGUCGACGGGAGUCCCGGAACGAGUUGUCUUUUCUUUGUAAGGGCUCGGCUCCCUGGAAUCGGCUCACCCGGAGAUAGGGAUGCUGUCCCCGUAAAGCACCGCGCCUCUUGCGGUGUCCGGAGCACCCCCGUCGGCCCUUGAAAAUCCGAGCGAGAGAUAGUGAUUUUCGUGCCGGACCGUACCCAUAUCCGCAGCA